rnacentral:rRNA from 1 species
GCCUACGGGGCGCAGCAGUAGGGAAUUUUCGUCAAUGGGCGCAAGCCUGAACGAGCAAUGCCGCGUGAGUGAAGAAGGGUUUCGGCUCGUAAAGCUCUGUUGGUAGUGAAGAAAGAUAGAGGUAGUAACUGGCCUUUAUUUGACGGUAAUUACUUAGAAAGUCACGGCUAACUACGUGCCAGCAGCCGCGGUAAUACGUAGGUGGCAAGCGUUGUCCGGAUUUAUUGGGUGUAAAGAGAGUGCAGGCGGGUCAAUAAGAUUGAUGUGAAAAC